GAUGAACGCUGGCGGCGUGCUUAACACAUGCAAGUCGAACGAAGCACUUUUACAGAUUUCUUCGGAAUGAAGUUUUAGUGACUGAGUGGCGGACGGGUGAGUAACGCGUGGGUAACCUGCCUCACACAGGGGGAUAACAGUUGGAAACGGCUGCUAAUACCGCAUAAGCGCACAGUACCGCAUGGUACGGUGUGAAAAACUCCGGUGGUGUGAGAUGGACCCGCGUCUGAUUAGCUAGUUGGCAGGGCAACGGCCUACCAAGGCGACGAUCAGUAGCCGACCUGAGAGGGUGACCGGCCACAUUGGGACUGAGACACGGCCCAAACUCCUACGGGAGGCAGCAGUGGGGAAUAUUGCACAAUGGGGGAAACCCUGAUGCAGCGACGCCGCGUGAGCGAAGAAGUAUUUCGGUAUGUAAAGCUCUAUCAGCAGGGAAGAAGAAAUGACGGUACCUGACU
rnacentral:rRNA from 1 species